GAUGAACGCUGGCGGCGUGCCUAAUACAUGCAAGUCGAGCGAACAGACGAGGAGCUUGCUCCUCUGACGUUAGCGGCGGACGGGUGAGUCACACGUGGAUAACCUACCUAUAAGACUGGGAUAACUUCGGGAAACCGGAGCUAAUACCGGAUAAUAUAUUGAACCGCAUGGUUCAAUAGUGAAAGACGGUUCUGCUGUCACUUAUAGAUGGAUCCGCGCCGCAUUAGCUAGUUGGUAAGGUAACGGCUUACCAAGGCAACGCUGCGUAGCCGACCUGAGAGGGGUGUCGGGCACACUGGAACUGAGACCCGGGCCCGGCUCCUACGGGAGGGAGCAGUGGGGAAUAUUUGCCAAAGGGCGAAAGCCUGAACGAGCCAUGCCGCGGGUGUGAAGAAGGGUUUCGGAUUGUAAAACCCUUUUUAUUGGGAAGAAGCAAAGUAAGUUAAUACCUUGCUGUUUUGACGUUACCCAAAGAAUAAGCCCCGGCUAACUUCGUG
rnacentral:rRNA from 1 species